rfam:Oryza barthii chromosome 8, whole genome shotgun sequence.
ACUCCUUCCACCCUUUUUUUUUUUUGUCUAACUUUAAUUAUCUAUCUUAUUUAAUUUUUUACGAUAAGUAUUUUUAUUGCUAUAAAAUGGUAAAACACUAAAAAUACUUUAUAUGUGACUUAAGAUUAUUAUUUUUAAAAAAGAUAAUCUAAAUAAGAUAGACAAUUAAAGUUAAAAAAAAAAACUCGAGGUUGUGUUUAAA